CCCUGAUACACACUGACACAGAGCAGAAUAGGGACUGUUCCUCCUACAUCGGGUCACUUGGCAGAUAUGGAUUGACACAUGUCCUAAGGAUCCCUGAUACACACUGACACAGAGCAGAAUAGGGACUGUUCCCCCUACAUAGGGUCACUUGGCAGAUAUGGAUUGACACUGUCCACAAGGACAAGCUGCAGACUUCCUGGCAGGGCCCAUACAAGGUGGUAGAGCAGGUUUGUG